rnacentral:rRNA from 1 species
CCUACGGGAGGCAGCAGUGAGGAAUAUUGGUCAAUGGGCUUACGCCUGAACCAGCCAAGUCGCGUGAGGGAAGACUGCCCUAUGGGUUGUAAACCUCUUUUGUCAGGGAGCAACGCCGGCUACGUGUAGCCGGACUGAGAGUACCUGAAGAAAAAGCAUCGGCUAACUCCGUGCCAGCAGCCGCGGUAAUACGGAGGAUGCGAGCGUUAUCCGGAUUUAUUGGGUUUAAAGGGUGCGUAGACGGAAUGCCAAGUCAGCGGUAAAAGCGCGGGGCUCAACCUCGCUCCGCCGUUGAAACUGGCGUUCUUGAGUGGGCGAGAAGUAUGCGGAAUGCGUGGUGUAGCGGUGAAAUGCAUAGAUAUCACGCAGAACUCCGAUUGCGAAGGCAGCAUACCGGCGCCCAACUGACGCUGAAGCACGAAAGCGUGGGUAUCGAACAGGAUUAGAUACCCCAGUAGUC